CAGCUCGAGCUGUGAAAGUCUCCGAUGAUGCCAGAGAACAGUGAAAAUGAGGGUGAUGCCUUACUGCACUUUACUGCUGAAUUCUCUAGAAGAUAUGGCGACUUCGAUCCUGUGUUCUACAUCGGAUCCUUGGAAGCAGCAUGUCAAGAGGCCUUUUACGGAAAAGCCAGAGAU